GGAAAAGAAACCAACAGGGAUUGCCUCAGUAACGGCGAGUGAAGCGGCAAAAGCUCAAAUUUUAAAGCUGGCAUCUUCGGUGUCCGCGUUGUAAUUUUGUGAGGCAUCUCCGGGUAGGGCGCCGGCCUAAGUUCCUUGGAACAGGACGUCACAGAGGGUGAGAAUCCCGUGCUUGGCUGGCUGUCCCCGUCCAUGUGAGGUGUCUUCGACGAGUCGAGUUGUUUGGGAAUGCAGCUCAAAAUGGGUGGUAAAUUUCAUCUAAAGCUAAAUAUUGGUGGGAGACCGAUAGCGCACAAGUAGAGUGAUCGAAAGAUGAAAAGCACUUUGAAAAUAGAGUUAAAAAGUACGUGAAAUUGUUGAAAGGGAAGCGCUUGAGAUCAGACUUCGGUAGGGGGUGAUCAGCCGUCCUUCUGGGCGGUGCACUUGCCCCUCUCCGGGCCAGCAUCGGUUGAGGCGGCGGGAUAAAGGUCCCGGGAAUGUGGCUCCUUCGCGGGAGUGUUAUAGCCCGGGUGAAUGCCGCCAGUCUCGACCGAGGACCGCACCCGCAAGGGUUA
rnacentral:rRNA from 1 species